GGUCUUCGGAUGCUGACGAGUGGCGAACGGGUGAGUAAUACAUCGGAACGUGCCCGAGAGUGGGGGAUAACGAGGCGAAAGCUUUGCUAAUACCGCAUACGAUCUACGGAUGAAAGCAGGGGACCGCAAGGCCUUGCGCUCAUGGAGCGGCCGAUGGCAGAUUAGGUAGUUGGUGGGAUAAAAGCUUACCAAGCCGACGAUCUGUAGCUGGUCUGAGAGGAUGAUCAGCCACACUGGGACUGAGACACGGCCCAGACUCCUACGGGAGGCAGCAGUGGGGAAUUUUGGACAAUGGGCGAAAGCCUGAUCCAGCCAUGCCGCGUGCAGGAUGAAGGCCUUCGGGUUGUAAACUGCUUUUGUACGGAACGAAAAGACUCUUUCUAAUAAAGAGGGUCCAUGACGGUACCGUAAGAAUAAGCACCGGCUAACUACGUGCCAGCAGCCGCGGUAAUACGUAGGGUGCAAGCGUUAAUCGGAAUUACUGGGCGUAAAGCGUGCGCAGGCGGUUAUGUAAGACAGAUGUGAAAUCCCCGGGCUCAACCUGGGAACUGCAUUUGUGACUGC
rnacentral:rRNA from 1 species